rnacentral:rRNA from 1 species
GGUCAAGCUACAAAGAGCGCAAGGGGAAUGCCUUGGCACUGGGAGCCGAUGAAGGACGCGACUAACUGCGAUAAGCUACGGGGAGCCGUAAGUAGGCAUUGAUCCGUAGAUUUCCGAAUGGAGCAAUCCGAUUAAAGUCAUGUUUAAUCAUCAUACACUGAAUACAUAGGUGUAUGAGGGGAACCGCCUGAACUGAAACAUCUAAGUAGGGCGAGGAAGAGAAAUCAACCGAGAUUCCGCUAGUAGUGGCGAGCGAACGCGGAGGAGGCCAAACCAAGAGUAGUAAUACUUUUGGGGUUUGGACAGCAAUGUGUAGGAUUAAGUUUAGCAGAAUGGCAUGGGAAGGCCAACGAAACAGUGUGAGAGUCACGUAUGCGAAAAGCGAAAUCCGCUAGCUGUAUCCAGAGUACCGCCGGACACGUGAAACCCGGUGGGAAUAUGGGGGGACCACCCUCCAAGCCUAAAUACUACCCAGUGACCGAUAGUGUAUAGUACUGUGAAGGAAAGGUGAAAAGGACCCCGGGAGGGGAGUGAAAAAGAACCUGAAACCUUGUGCUUACAAGCACCGAGAGCCCAUCAACGGGUGAUCGGGUACCUUUUGUAGAAUGGUCCGGCGAGUGAAUGUAACUGGCGAGGUUAAGGACUUAAGGUCUGGA